rnacentral:rRNA from 1 species
AUGCAGUUCCUCGCGGCUUCAGCCCCCUCGUCCGCCGCGCCGCGGCUCCAGCCCUCCGCCCGCCUCCUCCGCCUCUCGAAGCCCCAUCCCUUCGCGCACCUCCGCCGCCGCUGCGCUCCCCACCUCCCAUCCAAGCCGCUGCCCCUGGCAUCCGUGUCUCCGGUCCCACCCCCACGGGCACGGCGCUCCCUGGCCUUCACGCCCCGCGCCCACAGCAACCACCACGGGCACCAUGGGCACGGGCACGGGCACCGCCAUUGCCACCACGGGGCGAAUGUGCAUGGGGGAGGCGGGGGCGCGACGGUCAUGCGGUUGGCGAGGGCGUCGGGUGGGCCGACGUCGCCGACGCGCUGCGGGAUCACCUGCAGGUCUGCUGCAUCUCCCUCGGUCUCCUCCUGA